rnacentral:rRNA from 1 species
UGGAGCUUGGAAGGCUUCCGCAGACAGGGUUCAUCAUUCGUGGUGUUCUUAAGACCUUGAGUGUGGCUCGUCAGGCGUAGCAUUGAGUUUGCCAGGUUAGCUGUCGUGCGGGGGUUCAGUUAAGGGGGCCGAGGCUUCGGCUGAGCUCCCCUUGCUGUUCCCUUUGGAAUGGACGUUCAGAGCUCUUGUGUCUAAUGCGGUUAUGCCCACCACGGCACGUUGUGAGGUCACCCACAGGCUCAAACUGCCGAUCGCGGAUCCAGGAUGAUGGCAACGAUGCGUUGUUCAGCUUCACGGCUGUAUCGCGUGUCUAGUCCUGGGUCGGGCGGCGACCGAGAUAAACCUGGUAUGAUCCUCUUGCGACGAGCUGCUUUCUGGCCAGACCGACGCCCAGGCGCUUCCACUGUGCCGGAAGCGUCAAUCCCAGGCGGUGUGAACCCAGCUGCAUUAUGCAAGGUCUCUCAGCCGGGCGUUGGUCUGAGUGGUGUUAAGUCCAGCACCAUCGGUCACGUCUCGAAACACGGGCCAAGGAGUAUAGCAUGUGUGCAAGUCUAAGGGUCUC